CUCUGCACGUCCCGUUUCCUGUUCACCUGACUUCUGAUGUUGCCACAGACGAGGCCGGGUCUGGGUCGAGAGAUCCGGCUGAAGUGCAGUCUGACUGGGGGCCCGAGAAGAGUCCAACGAGAGCGCGCCAGACUCGGCCAGCUGUGUGUAGUGUCCUCCCACAAUGGGCCUCAUCCAGAUUUUGAAUUGGAUAUAAAGUUUAACAUUUUAAACACUUGUUUUAGAGUAAGCGUUACAGAGUCAGAGCCCCAUUCAUUGUUAGAAAGCAAAUUUGGAUGAUAUUACACAUUUAAAGGUUAUCCCUUUGGUUUCUAACUUUAGAGGAGAGUGCUGCUUGUUCAUAAAUAUUCACCAAUCUGUUGUAGGGCAAAGGAAUAAGAAAUGUGAAGUCUUAAAAAGGGUUGGAUUCUCCUUUAAAUGCACAAUCUAUGAUUAUAAUGUUAUUAUAAUGUCCCAUCCUCAAAGCAUCUUGGGGACUUUAUUCAAAUGAUCAUGUAAAAUGAAAAUGUAAUUCCAUGAUUGCAAUGUAAUUUUUCACAAAAUUAUUUGUUGUAGGAUUACACUGGACUUUGAGUAUGAUCAAAGCAGGAGGAGCAGUCAGAUUCCAUUUGAAAGUAUUUAAUCUUUUGCUUGCAGGUGAAAUAAAGCGUAUUCUUGGAUUUCUA